rnacentral:rRNA from 1 species
UACGAAGGGGGGCUAGCGUUGCUCGGAAAUACUGGGCGUAAAGCGCACGUAGGCGGCGCAGCAAGUCAGGGGUGAAAUCCCGGGGCUCAACCUCGGAACUGCCCUUGAAACUGCAGUGCUAGAAUCUUGGAGAGGCGAGUGGAAUUCCGAGUGUAGAGGUGAAAUUCGAUAGAUAUUCGGAAGAACACCAGUGGCGAAGGCGACUCGCUGGACAAGUAUUGACGCUGAGGUGCGAAAGCGUGGGGAGCAAACAGGG